rnacentral:rRNA from 1 species
GGNGGUUGUUUGUNACCAGAAGCAGGUAGCUCAACCGCAAGGGAGGCGCUUGCCACGGUGUGGCCGAUGACUGGGGUG